rnacentral:lncRNA from 1 species
AAUUGUAAAAUUGCUACAUGAGAAGACAAGUUGUUAGAUGAAAUUCAAAUAUUCUCUAUGUUUGUGUUGUGUAGGUCAAAAAAUAAUAAACAAAGAUGAUAUUGAUUGUGAUGACCAAGAGAUUCAUUUUAAGACACAUCAAUCUUCAUCAUCUUUAAAUAAAAAGGAUAAACAUUAUGGAUUUCCAUUAUCUCAAGCAAAAACCAAGAGUUCAAAAUAUUAGUGGUAAGAACUGUCAAAAACUUGUGAUAGCUAUGAUGAAGAGAUUUGUGACAAAUUCGCUCAUGGCCAAAUCUAAUAUGGCAGCUGGAAAAGGCAAAGGAUCUUUUUAGCCUAACUAAGCUAUACAAUUUAAUAAAAGUUUGUCCAUCGACUUCUCACGAAUCAUACACAGAGUCGAUUAACGAUGCAAUAAUUGCGGAUUCGUGAAAACGGGCAACUUUUGCUUGUCUUAAAGUGCCUUAA